rnacentral:rRNA from 1 species
UACGGAGGGUGCAAGCGUUAUCCGGAUUCACUGGGUUUAAAGGGAGCGUAGGUGGGAUGGUAAGUCAGUGGUGAAAUCUCCGGGCUUAACUCGGAAACUGCCGUUGAUACUAUCAUUCUUGAAUAUUGUGGAGGUAAGCGGAAUAUGUCAUGUAGCGGUGAAAUGCUUAGAUAUGACAUAGAACACCAAUAGCGAAGGCAGCUUGCUACACAAUUAUUGACACUGAGGCUCGAAAGCGUGGGAUCAAACAGG